GACGGAGGGUGCGAGCGUUAUUCGGAAUUAUUGGGCGUAAAGAGCGUGUAGGCGGCCGGCCAAGUCAGAUGUGAAAGCCCGGGGCUUAACCUCGGAAGUGCAUUUGAAACUGGUUGGCUUGAGUUCGGGAGAGGGAAGUGGAAUUCCGGGUGUAGAGGUGAAAUUCGUAGAUAUCCGGAGGAACACCGGUGGCGAAGGCGACUUCCUGGACCGAAACUGACGCUGAGACGCGAAAGCGUGGGGAG
rnacentral:rRNA from 1 species